GUCUGGGUGGAGUUUGCCGGAACUUUUGGUGAGCCGGUUUGGGGAAAAGCCAGGGAAACCAACAGAAAAAGUGCAACAACUGAACUGUGCACUAGCGCCGAGGAACAGUGGACGGAUCGAGGAAGAAGCGGGCGGUGUGCUGGAUGCUGGAGGUCUGCACCGGAGCCUGUGGAUAAGGGAAGACUAGUUGCACCCGCGCUGGGCCCGCUGUUUGGAUUUGGCCGCAGUGUCCUCCUGCUUUACUGAGAAAGGCGGGGAUUAACUGCGGGUUACCGGGCGUGCUGAUUUGUCAGGACCUUAUAUAAAUCCGUCACUGUGGAUUGAGGACCAAGGCUAAGAGGCUGAGGGCAUGGAGAAAGGAAGGAAGGAAGGAAGAGGAAGGAAGGAAGGAAGGAAGAGGAAGGAAGGAAGAAAGGAAGUAAGGAAGGAAGGAAGGAGUAUCAAGACAAAAAAAGGAUGCAGUUUGAUCCCCAUAAAAACCAUUUUAUUGAUUGGAGCAGCACAUGUAUCCACCACCGAGGAGAGCUGAAGGGACAGAAGGAUGGGAUGAGAGGACAGGACAGCUAUAUUUGCAAUUACACAACUAGUGCUUGCAUUUAAGUGUUUUCUUUCACAGAUGUUUCCAGCUUCUCUCUUUUCAGUCUAGACAGGGACCCUCAAGGAAGAUAAAAGUUUCCCAUCCAGAAAUCCAAUGAACUUUGAACAUGUAUUCAACCGUGAAUUCUGAAAAAAAGUUUUAUUGUAACCUUAGAAGUGAAAUAAAUGGAGAUGUUUUAGUAAGUUACUAAACCCUGUAAAUUGAACCAAACAGCAUGGUUUAAUCUAACCAUUGUCAAAAUAUAUAAUUUAAAACCUAUUUUUUUCUAAAGUUUCUAUUAUCCUACUUAUUAUAACAAUGUUACCAAUGCUGUCAGAAAUACAUAAAAAAAUAAUUGUUUGGUAAAUGAAUAGGUUUAAACUUGUUGAUUAGUACCAUAAUUGUACUGAUAGUUAUACCAAUCGAUCACAGCAUGGAUGUUCACUACAUGCUGCAAUCAAUUAGAUGAACAAUACAAGAGUCACACAAUUGUUCAAUCCUGUUUUUAACACUUAGCAAAAACUGCUAUCCAAAGCAUUUCAAACCAAAGCAACGCAAGAUUGGUUGGUGGUGAUGAGUGUGAAAACCCACUUGCUUGUUUUUAAGUAGCUUUAUGAAAAAUAUUUUUCUGUUGCAGCAGUGAAG